rnacentral:tRNA from 1 species
GGGCAGCUAGAUCAGCUGGAAGAUCGCCGCCUUCGCAAGGCGGAGGCCAGGGGUUCAAAUCCCCUGCUGUCCA